rnacentral:rRNA from 1 species
AUUGAACGCUGGCGGCGUGCUUAACACAUGCAAGUCGAUCGGUAACGCGGGGGCAACCCUGGCGACGAGAGGCGGACGGGUGAGGAACGCUUGGGAAUCUGCCUAUCAGCGGGGGACAACCCGGGGAAACUCGGGCUAAUACCGCAUACGCUCUACGGAGGAAAGCCGGGGACCGCAAGGCCUGGCACUGAUAGAUGAGCCCAAGUCGGAUUAGCUAGUUGGCGGGGUAACGGCCCACCAAGGCGACGAUCCGUAGCUGGUCUGAGAGGACGAUCAGCCACACUGGGACUGAGACACGGCCCAGACUCCUACGGGAGGCAGCAGUGGGGAAUAUUGGACAAUGGGGGAAACCCUGAUCCAGCGACGCCGCGUGGGUGAAGAAGGCCUGCGGGUUGUAAAGCCCUUUCGGUAGGGACGAAAGCUCUCGACCUAACACGUCGGGAGGUUGACUUAACCUACAAAAGAAGCACCGGCUAACUACGUGCCAGCCGCCGCGGUAACAC